AUUGAACGCUGGCGGCAGGCUUAACACAUGCAAGUCGAGCGAGCGGCGGACGGGUGCGUAAUGUCUGGGAAACUGCCUGAUGGAGGGGGAUACUAAAUGGAAACGGUAGCUAAUACCGCAUACCAUCAGAUGUGACCAGAUGGGAGUAGCUUGUAGGUGGGGUAAUGGCUCACCUAGGCGAAGAACCCUAGCUGGUCUGAGAGGAUGACCGGCCACACUGGAACUGAGACACGGUCCAGACUCCUACGGGAGGCAGCAGUGGGGAAUAUUGCACAAUGGGCGCAAGCCUGAUGCAGCCAUGCCGCGUGUGUGAAGAAGGCCUUCGGGUUGUAAAGCACUUUCAGCGAGGAGGCGUUACUCGCAGAAGAAGCACCGGCUAACUCCGUGCCAGCAGCCGCGGUAAUAAC
rnacentral:rRNA from 1 species